AACGAACGUUGGCGGCAUGGAUUAGGCAUGCAAGUCGGGGGAAUCCCAGCAAUGGGGGAACCGGCGUAAGGGGCAGUAAGGCAUGGGUACCUACCCCGGGUUCGGCAUAGCCAUCAGAGAUGGUGGGUAAUACCGGAUGACCUCGUGAGAGCAAAGAUUUAUCGCCCUGGGAGGGGCCCAUGUGAUAUUAGCUAGUUGGUGAGGUAACGGCUCACCAAGGCGAAGAUGUCUAGCGGGUGUGAGAGCACGACCCGCGCCACUCGCACUGAGACACUGGCGAGACACCUACGGGAGGCAG
rnacentral:rRNA from 1 species